rnacentral:RNase_P_RNA from 1 species
GGAGUGGUUCAGGUCAUCGCGGUGCAUUUUGUGUGCAUCGAGGAAAGUCCGGGCUGCAUAGAACAGGAUGCUGGAUAACGUCCAGUGGGGGAAACCCUAGGAAAGUGCCACAGAGAUGAGACCGCCUUUGCAUGUAUGUUUACAUCCAUCGGUCAGGGUGAAAAGGUGCGGUAAGAGCGCACCGCUUCGGGCGGCGACGAACGAAGGCAUCGGUAAACCCCAUCCGCAGCAAGGUCAAAUAGGGAGUCGUUAAGCGUGGUUCGCGCGUGGCUUCGGGUAGACUGCUUGAGGUGCCUAGCAAUGGUGCAUCCAGAUGAAUGAUGAUUACUGCUGUUUGUUCGCAAACACAGAACAGAACCCGGCUUAUCGAACCACUCCUCAC